UACCAAAACACAACAGGCUGAAUGACCAAA
rnacentral:piRNA from 1 species